GCUUCUAUAGUUUAAAGUUAAAACAUUGAUUUUGUAAAUCAAAGAUAGUAUAAACUUAUUAGCU
rnacentral:tRNA from 1 species